GACGAGCCACACGAACGUUAUUCGGAAUUACUGGGCUUAGAGGGUGCGUAGGCUGCGCGGCAAGUUGGGUGUGAAAUCCCUCGGCUCAACCGAGGAACUGCGCCCAAAACUGCCGUGCUCGAGGAAGAUAGAGGUAAGCGGAACUUACGGUGGAGCGGUGAAAUGCGUUGAUAUCGUAAGGAACACCUGUGGCGAAAGCGGCUUACUGGGUCUUUUCUGACGCUGAUGCACGAAAGCUAGGGGAGCAAACGGG
rnacentral:rRNA from 1 species